ACAGCAGUCGCCGCGGUAAUACGGAGGGUGCGAGCGUUAAUCGGAAUUACUGGGCGUAAAGCGUACGCAGGCGGUUUGUUAAGUCAGAUGUGAAAUCCCCGAGCUUAACUCGGGAACUGCAUUUGAAACUGGCAGGCUAGAGUCUCGUAGAGGGGGGUAGAAUUCCAGGUGUAGCGGUGAACUGCGUAGAUAUUCGGAAGAACACCAGUGGCGAAGGCGGCCCGCUGGACAUGUAUUGACGCUGAGGUGCGAAAGCGUGGGGAGCAAACAGGAUUAGAUACCCCGGUAGUCCCUGUCUCUUAUAA
rnacentral:rRNA from 1 species